ACAUCACCAACACCUUCGACCACCGCCAGUACGUCUGGAUCGUCGCAAUCUCCACCUCAUAGUCCGCCGACCACCAUUGUUCCAACUUCUUUAUGCUUGGUGGUCUUCAUUGUCGACCAAAUCCACAACAAGUGGCUAUUCCACCACCAUCAAAUUGUUGAUCGACCUUCAUCAUCAUCGAGAUCUAUCCGAGAUUUUGUAUAAAGCAUUUAUCGUUUGAACUUUGAAGUCUUGUUUAUCAUCGUUAGGUGAUCUUCUUCUUCAUCUUAUUUUGAUUUGAAUCCAUGUAAAUUUGGAUGUUUGGGUUGGAUGCCAUUUUUAGGUUUUACAAGUGUAUCACUACAAAUUACUUGGCAAUGAAUUUAUGGUAGAAAAGGCUUCAAGAAUGGCUUGAAGACCUGAUGGGAAAGGGUUGAAGAAUGAAUUAAAGAAUGAUCGCACUCAUUUUUUAAGAAUGUUGUUAUUUUUUAAGAAUUAUACUUGUUUAUUCUUUCAGAAUGUUUGUUAUUAUUCAAUGAAUCACAAUUAUACAAUGUAAUUUUUUGAUAUAUUAUUAGUUCAAGAAUCGAUUUUGUGUAUUCUUUCAGAAUGUAUUUACUA